AUGGCUCGCGUCCUGCGCACCUCCCUCGUCGCGCCCUCGCCGGCCGGCGCCGCGCUCCACGAGCGCUCUCUCCCGCUCACCUACCUAGAUGCGCUGUGGCUCCACGCCACGCCCGUCGAGCGCGUCUUCUUCUACCCCGACGCCACCAGCGACGUCCUCUCCAACCUCACCGACUCCCUGUCCAAUGCGCUCGCCGCAUUUUACCCUCUUGCCGGCCGACUCCGCCUCACCCCCGGCGCGCACAACCGCUACGAGCUCCACUGCCAGCCGGGCGACGGCGUCACCUUCACCGUCGCCGAGUACCACCACGUCGGCUUCGACGAGCUUGCGACUGACGACCCUACGGAGGUUGCCAAGAUCGUGCCGCUUGUGCCGCCGCUGCCCGAAGGCGGCGCGGUGCUCGCCGUGCAGGCCACCGUGCUGCGCGCCGGCCUCGCUAUCGGCGUGACCAUUCACCACGCCGCCUGCGACGGGGUGUCCUCGACGCACUUCCUCCGCACCUGGGCCUGGGCGGCGGCGCCCUGCAGCGGUGCGAGCGCGCCUGAGCCGCCCUUCGUCGACCGCUCCAUCAUCCGCGCACGAGACGACCUGUACGACGCUUUCACAGCGCCCAGGCUGUCCAGCAACGACGACGACGGUGGGAAUGGGAAACCCCCCAAUUCGCCCGUCGUCCAGCAGCUCCUCGCCACGUUCACGCUGUCCAAGGAGCACCUGCAGAGCAUCAAAGAAGCGGUCGCCGGCGAGGCGGAACGUCGUGGCGGGCCGCCGCCUCGCGCCACAUCGAUCAUCGCGGCGUUCGGCUUCAUCUGGCAAUGCUACAUCCGAGCUAAAGCAGGCACCGAUGGCAAGGCAGCGUCGCCCUGCGGCGGCCGUGCCUACUUCCUCUUACCCGCGGACCACCGGACGAGGCUGGAGCCGCCCGUCCCCGACGAGUACCUGGGGAACUGCCUCGGUCCUUGCAUCGCGUCAGCUCCCAGGAAGGAUGUCGCUGCCGCCGGCGCGGACGGUCUGUUCACCGCGUGCGCGGCGAUCGCCACGGCCAUCGACGGAGUGGUGCGCGGUGGAGCCGCCUACUGGGACGGGUGGAUGGAGCGCAUCAUCGAAGCGUACAGCGCAGGCGACUUGCCGCUAACGGUCGCCGGGUCGCCGAGGUUCCGCGUGUACGACACGGACUUUGGGUUCGGGCGGCCGGCAAAGGUGGAUGUCGUGUCUGUGGCGAGGACCGGCGCGAUGUCCGUGGCAGAGGCGCGCAGCGGCGGUGGCGGGGUGGAGGUGGGCAUCUCUUUGCCGGCGGGUGCCAUGGAGCGUUUCAACGAGUGCUUUGCCGAUGCCGUCGCGUGCCUUUCGUCGUAG
rnacentral:rRNA from 1 species